UGGCGCGGGGCGGGCACCGUUGCUGCUGGAUGGUUCAGGCCAGGACAAGGGGGAGGAGCCUGAGCGCAGAGACCCCACCGUAGCUAAAGCGCUGGGCGGGGAUUAACCCGCUCGGUGCCGGGCUGCUGGCGGAGGAAUCGGCUCUGGGAGACGUUUCACCCCCGCUGUUCCGAGGGCAGCUGCGCUGAAGCCGAGGGGACGCCGGGCGGAACCGUGCGCCAGGGGCCGCGGAGCGGGUGCAGCAAUCCCCGGGCAGCGCCGCGCUGGCCCCUCACUAGAAAGAGCUGACGUCACAGCAGCGACUCCCCGCGGCCCUGGAGGUUCGGACACUUAAACCCUGCGGAAACCGAGGCGGCGACUGGCCUCCGGGGGCCUCUGGCGGGGAGCUCCGUGCUGCUGCGGUAAAGCCCAGAGCUCAGACAGGGAGCAGCGGGGAGGCUUGGGACGCAGGCACAGGGGAUCCGUGCCCUGCUGCCCGGGCACCAGAAGCUCUUUGCACUCUUUCUCCUACCCCCAUUUACCUCUCCUUGUGUAGCGUGGAAAGGAAAACUGCUGUGAACUACGGCCUUUGUUGGCCCCUUCUUGACUUUUCCUCAUGUUCUCAUCCACAUUCCUCCACUGGAUUUAGCCAGUGCAACCAGCUCUUAACCUAACAUCAGCAGCUGUUCUGUUGGUCCUGUGUGCCCCAGCUGCCAAUCGCCCAUUGUCCUUCACAGCUGCCAUGCAACCAGGCAGCUUCUUAUUCUAACAUGCUGCCCCUUCUCAUCCAAGAAGCAUCUGUGAAAACAAGCAUGUUGAUGUCAACCUCCUGUACAGCAAUUGUGUUGAAAACAUUUGGUUUCAUUGCACAAGUUGUAUUGUUGUCUUGAGCAGCAAGAUUCAACAGCAGUUUACACAGGCACAAGAAUUGCUGGCCUCCAGCUACAGUACCAGCUGCGGUAAUUCAGUGACUGGCUAGUAAUGGAGCAGCCUCUCCUCCCAUAGAAACAAGAUGUUGUCAGGUGGCGAGAGAGAAGCAGUGAUUUGUCCAAGGUCACAUAAGAAAUCGGUGCCAGAGUUAGGAUUAGAAAUCAGGAAUUCCUGGUUUUGAGAAGUUGUAAAGGAAAUGUCUUCAAAUGCAAACAGAUGCAGCGGUAUCUGCAGACAUCCUGGAACAACAGCGUUGAGAGAAAUGUGAACUGCCUGAGUCAGCUCUGAAGCUAAUGAUGAUGUAUUGUCAAUACAACUAUUUCACUCAUCAAGGCAUGAAAGAAAGAGAUCAACAUAUUAGGAAGAUCUACGUUAUCUUCUAUAAAUGGCUUCUCAUUUGGUGAACGGAGGGUAGGCUGCAACUCUUUUCCCCGCCCCCAUCUGAUCCCUGAAUGUGACUUGCUCAUGGAUCUGAUCCUUUCAUUCUUGUGACCCAUCUCCCACCAUCUAAGCUUUUCUAUUUUCUUCUCUUGAAAAUAUAUUUCAGAGUCCAGAUCACUUCCUGUCUUUACUGUCAAUUUUCAUCUUUUCAUGCAGGAUCAGUUAUAUGAAUUGAAUGUGGAAGUUGAGUGCAGCAGAAACAAAGCUUAACCCUACAAGGUUCUAUAUAUUAUUUUAACUAAAGUUUAUGGAAGCUCAUUAGGGAUGGGGUGUUACAUGAGCCUAAACAAGAAUGGGUUUGGAACACAAUCCUGGUGGGAGGUUUGAUUGUAACUUCCUCAGUUGGGGAGGGAGGAUCACACAGAAACACUGCAUUGGUGUGCAUUUCAAGUCACUAUGUAAACAUUAACCAAACCACUUCUUCCUCCCCCCAUAUAACACACUAUUUGCUCACCAGGCAUGUGACCAAUACAACUUAUACCACACAAGCUUUUAAAAAUGCUCUUUGAGACUAGUUGCUUGCACCCACAUUAUGAUGAAGUAACCUUAUCUUAGCUCAUCAUCUGCCAUGAUAAUCUCCCUGGAAUGGGGCUCUGGGAAAAGAAAUCUCCAGGAGAAUCUCUCCCUUCCUCCAUGCUCUCCCCCCCCUCAAGCAUCUUGUUUGCAAGCAUGGAAUUUGCUUCCCCACCAAAGAGUUUAUAGGCUCCACCCCAAAGCUGCUGGAUCCCCAGGAAUCUGUGGAGGCUGAGAACACCCAUGAGGAGGCCUUGUGUGGCCUCAUGGGCCCCAGUAGCCUUUCCACAGCUGAUUUCUCGGCAACUCUUUUCUACUGGAACCACCCCAUGGCAUUUGGAACUACUGACAUGGCAUCUAUGCAGAACUGUUUCUGCCUGUGUCAUUGUUCAUCAUUAUAUAUCUUAGAGAUUAAUUACUUCACUUACCACUGAAAUGCAGCCACCUCUAUGGUGGGAAUGCAGGAGCAUGACAAGAAGAGAAGAAUAGGAGCAAUUGAAGCCAAUAGGAGCAAUUGAAGAAUAGGAGCAAUUUUAGGUAGGCAGAACUGAAUGGCCAGUUUAUUCAGGAUACCAGGGUUCAUGCCCUUACCCUUGUGAAAAAUGCCAAGAGAAUUUUACUGUCUACCAAGCCAUCAGGAUUUUGAUUUUUAAAUCUAAUCUGAAUGAAAGCAGCACAGUGUUUCCCUCCUCCCCUUAAUACCAUGUAGGAGAUUAACUCAAUAUUGACUUUGAGGGGAGAGUCUCACCUCCUGAAGCAACAAAACCAUUUUUACUGCACUGCUGGCUUUCUUUAAAGGUCUGUCAAGCUAUUGAUCUUGCAGGCUUGACCCUACUUGGUUUGUGAGAUUGGACAAACUCAGAGCCCAGCAGUAUACUUGCUGCAGACAAAUGAGUUAUGUAUUAUCAUCUCAUAACAACAGAUCUUGGUAACUAAAUGCAAAAUAUAAUAAUUGUUUACACAAGCCAAAAAGUGUGAUAGUCAUUCUCAGUCAAGCAGAGCCACCUAGUGGUAAAAGAUAAGACUCAAGAUUUUUGUCUUACGCUGACUGACCUUUCUUUUUGACAGCUCACAAACAAUGGAUUUUUCAACAUGCUCAUAUUAAUACCUUGGGAAAUGGCAAUUAAAAUCUGAUCAACUAAUAAAAUUCUGUUUGCUCCAUCUCUCUCACACAUAGGCUUUUUACUGUAGGGUUUUUAGUGGGUGCAAAGCUACAAGUAGACACUUUUUUUUUAAAGAUAAAAGAGCAUUGAGGCAUUUGUCUGAAGAGAAAUCAAAGUCCAUAAUAACUAAUUAAAUAAAUCAAUGUUAGAAGUAGACAAAGAAAAAAAAAGUAGAUCACAUUUUCAAAUUACUAAUGUUGAUAGUGUUUCUUAGAGUAAUACAAUGGUAGAAUUAAAAGUACCUUGUGAAGACAUUGGAUUCCUUUUCUUCUUCUUUUACAGUAGGUAAACAUUCACCGUCAGCUAAGAAGGGAAAAGAUAACCACACUGUUACCUUUGGUAAUUCUUUCAGACAUUUCAAAAUUGUGUUCACUUUCAGAGUAGUGACUGCAAACCACAAAACUCCAGGGUACAGGUAUAGUUCUUUUUAUCUGUAAUAUUUGCACAUUCAUAUGUUUUGUUUAAUAUAAUUAUCAGCUAUUUAAAAAUGUCCUGCCCUUGUGGCUGUAGUGGAAGACCUGGUAACCUUUAUGAUAUUUAUUUCAUUUGUUUGUGUGCAGAUCAGGGGCGCCUCCAGGCCCCAGCAUGCCAAGCGCGUGCUUGGGGCGGCAUGCCGCGGGGGGCGCUCUGCCGGUCGCCGGGAGGGCGGCAGGCAGCUCUGGUGGACCUCCCGCAG